AUGUACCACGCCUACACUACGGUUCCUGCACCGUCCACGCCCACUUGACGACUGCUUGCUACGUUUAGGCAGCC
rnacentral:sRNA from 1 species